UGCAGGGUGUGAUAGCCAUCGCGGCUGU
rnacentral:piRNA from 1 species